rnacentral:rRNA from 1 species
AUUCUGGAGAGGGCGCCUGAGAAAUGGCGACCACAUCCAAGGAAGGCAGCAGGCGCGCAAAUUACCCAAUCCUGAUUCAGGGAGGUAGUGACAAUAAAUAACGAUGCUGGGCUUUUCAAGGUCUGGCAAUCGGAAUGAGGACGGUGUAAACAACCUAUCGAGGAUCCACUGAAGGGCAAGUCUGGUGCCAGCAGCCGCGGUAAUACCAGCUUCAGUAGUGUAUAUUAAAGUUGUUGCAGUUAAAAAGCUCGUAGUUGGAUUUCUGGAUCCUUGGUGUGAACCGAUUUACGCAAGUAGAUCUGUGUUUGCUACCUUGGGAAUCCAUUCUCAAUUUUUGGUGAAUACUGUCAGUCCUUUACUGGAUGGAUAGUACUUAGCCAAAUCGUUUACUUUGAAAAAAUUAGAGUGUUCAAAACAGGCUUAUGCCGUGAAUACAUUAGCAUGGAAUAAUAAGAUAGGACUUUGGUUCUAUUUUGUUGGUUUCUAGGACUGAAGUAAUGAUUGAUAGGGAUAGUUGGGGGUGCUCGUAUUCAGUGGCCAGAGGCGAAAUUCUUGGAUUCACUGAAGACGAACUAAUGCGAAAGCAUUCACCAAGGAUGUCUUCUUUAAUCAAGAACGAAAGUUGGGGGAUCGAAGACGAUCAGAUACCGUCGUAGUCUCAACUAUAAACUAUGCCGACUCGGGAUUGGAGGACGUUGUUUUCAUGACUCCUUCAGCACCGCAUGAGAAAUCAAAGUCUUUGGGUUCCGGGGGGUGUAUGGUCGCAAGGCUGAAACUUAAAGGAAUUGACGGAAGGGCACCACCAGGAGUGGAGCCUGCGGCUUAAUUUGACCCAACACGGGGGAACUUACCAGGUCCAGACAUAAAGAGGAUUGACAGAUUGACGAUCUUUCUUGAUCUUAUGGGUGGUGGUGCAUGGCCGUUCUUAGUUGGUGGAGUGAUUUGUCUGGUUUAUUCCGUUAACGAACGAGACCUCAGCCUACUAAAUAGUCAUCUCUAUUCUUCGGGAUAGCGGUUUAAUGACUUCUUAGAGGGACUUUCGAUGAGAGUCGAAGGAAGCUUGAGGCAAAAGCAGGUCUGUGAUGCCCUUAGAUGUUCUGGGCCGCACGCGCGCUACACUGUUGCAUUCAACAAGUAGAUUUCAACCUGGAUCGAUAGAUUUGGGUAAUCUUACAAGGUGCAACGUGAUGGGGAUAGAUCAUUGUAAUUAUUGAUCUUGAACGAGGAAUUCCUAGUAAACGCAAGUCAUCAGCUUGCAUUGAAUACGUCCCUGCCCUUUGUACACACCGCCCGUCGCUCCUACCGAUUGAACGGUCCGGUGAAAUCUCAAGAUCGUGGUACAUUGUUGGGCAACCAGCGGUGUACAUGCGAGAAUUUGCUUGAACCUUACCGUUUAGAGGAAGGAGAAGUCGUAACAAG